rnacentral:misc_RNA from 1 species
GAUGAAGAACGUAGUGAAAUGCGAUACGUAAUGUGAAUUGCAGAAUUCAGUGAAUCAUCGAGUCUUUGAACGCACAUUGCGCCCCCUGGUAUUCCGGGGGGCAUGCCUGUCCGAGCGUCAUUGCUGCCCUCAAGCACGGCUUGUGUGUUGGGCCUCCGUCCUCCUCCCGGGGGACGGGCCCGAAAGGCAGCGGCGGCACCGCGUCCGGUCCUCGAGCGUAUGGGGCUUCGUCACCCGCUCUUGUAGGCCCGGCCGGCGCUUGCCGACACAUCAAUCUUUUUUCCAGGUUGACCUCGGAUCAGGUAGGGUUACCCGCUGAACUUAAGCAUAUCAAUAAGCGGAGGA